GACGAACGCGGCGGCGUGCCUAAUACAUGCAAGUCGAGCGAAGUUUUUCUGGUGCUUGCACUAGAAAAACUUAGCGGCGAACGGGUGAGUAACACGUAAAGAACCUGCCUCAUAGACUGGGACAACUAUUGGAAACGAUAGCUAAUACCGGAUAACAAUAUUUUUCGCAUGAAAGAUACUUAAAAGUUGGUUAUGCUAACACUAUGAGAUGGCUUUGCGGUGCAUUAGCUAGUUGGUGGGGUAAAGGCCCACCAAGGCGACGAUGCAUAGCCGACCUGAGAGGGUGAUCGGCCACACUGGGACUGAGACACGGCCCAGACUCCUACGGGAGGCAGCAGUAGGGAAUCUUCCGCAAUGGGCGAAAGCCUGACGGAGCAACGCCGCGUGAGUGAAGAAGGAUUUCGGUUCGUAAAGCUCUGUUGUUAGGGAAGAAUGGAUAUGUAGUAACUAUA
rnacentral:rRNA from 1 species